CAAUAAAAGAAAUUAGUUUAUGGAUCUGCCUUGUUUUACUGACAAAAGCCUAAGGCCAGAACAAGGAGAGUUUGUGACUGUAGGUAGAUGGUUGUAGUCCAAAAGAGGAAGAAAAAUGGCUUUCCCAAAGUUUGAAAAGAAGGUCCCGCAAGCUGCGCCAGAAGUAUUUUUCCUGUCCUUAUCCUUCACCCUUGGAAGGAACUUUAGUUGACUAGGUAUGGUAGGGUCCCCACCCUAAGGAAAGAAAAAAAAAAAACCCUCAAGGCAACCUGGCUAUAUGCAUACCUGACAACAUCCCUCAGGACCUUGUAACAAGAGACCACAUAAUCAGACUGCAUGUUUGUGUGUUACCAUAUAUGGGAGACAAAGAAGUAGAGAAUGUAUAAAAAACUACACUACAUGGCGUUUGGGGCUCAGUUCUUUGGGUACAGACCCAACUGAGCCGUGCUGGAAGAAGAAAGCUGCUUCCUGGAGAGAAAGGCCUCGGUGUCACGACUCUUGGGGGAAUCCUGUUACAUAGGAACUGCCGAAUCUGCAUCUCUGCCCCCUAAGGCUUGCUUCCCCAGAAUACUGGAAGCCUUACUGAUCCACAAAGAGGAGGAAUCAACAGAGAAAUCAGCCUGCCCCAGGAACCCUUGAGAGUCAUUGGUUUAGCUGUGUGUUUCCCUUUCACUUCUAAGCAUAUCACAGAAUCUCUCCAGUUAGUGGAUAAAUACCACAGUUCCCUCUCUCCUCCUCAGGUGGAAUACUUUUUUGUCAGCAUUUCCAUGUAAGAUGAAACUCCAAUCUUCCAUGGGCUUAACAGCAUGUACUCUACCAUCUUCUUUUUCCUGUAUUCUGUUUCUCCGUCAUACCCACUAGUGUUUUCCACACUUCCCAAUAAACUCCUUGAAUUUACAUCUUUAUUUCAAGGUCUGAUCCUGAAAGAAUCCAGACUAAGACAGAAACAAAGAAACCUGUGGAUCGGAAGGCAGGGGUAACCUGUAUUUACUUCUAGACCAAAGAUACAGGUGGUGGUGUUGAAAACCUACCUCUGUGUUUUGAAACCAAAAUAGAACGUGAAGACAGAGUUUGGGAUAAAAAAGGAACAAUAGCUUUAUUGCUUUGCAGGACGAUGGAGGCUGCAGCAGGCUGAGGCAAUCCUCACCACCCCAACCCCACCCAAGGGCUAGGGUGGGUUAUAGGGAAAUACAGGAUCUAGCCAAAUUUCUAAAGGAGUUGUGUAUGCACUGACAGCCUUGUUCCUUGUGUCUUUAAGGUGGUAUCAGGUUCCUGAAACAGAAGUCUAAAAAGGGAAGGGUAAGGUUUGCAGAAGGGAGGAAAAAUGUUACUUAGUUUAAAAUCGAGCCUCGGGAAAGCCUUAGUGCCGCCAUUUUGAUUUUUGUUCAACUUAACGUUCGAGCGGUUUCAGGGGUACAAGAACUGAACAUUUCAUUGGAUCUGGGAGCAAAAUGGCUUGCACCUUGUUUCUUGAAAGAAACCAAUGAUGAUGAUGGUAAGACCCUGGGGAUGAAAUGCUUUCAUGGUGUGUCUAGUGAAUGAAAUAAGAGGGAAUUUGUUCUCCGCGGGGGAAAACACCUCAGCUGAAAAAGACAAGACACUAACGGAAGUAUAAAAUCUUCAAAGCUUCUCUUCACAAUAUGACAGAACAUGAUCGGUUUGUGAUGGUCAAGGUAUUCCGUAAAGAUCGAUUUUCCAUUGCCGUUGUCAUGUGGGCAAUCGGCAAAGCAAGAACGAAUGAAUGAGUAAGAUGCCUUCGAGUGAAUUUACAGUAUCCUGAGCAAUCCCAGUAAUAACCGUAGAGGUCAUAAAAUAAGAGAAGCAGGAAAGAUUAUCUACAAAUCUUUAGCUGAAAGGCAACUAUUUUCUUAUUCAUUUUGUUAAAUGAUGUACUUUGGUAUUUGUUUCUCGUAAUUAAACAGCAAAUGCUGUAUUUUACAUGGAGAUAUGCUGGUAUCUUGUGAAGAGAACAGAUUAAUGUAAUGUUUUGCUACCUUUGACCUUGUAUCCUUGAGUCUCUUGAUUCUAUGUCACCAAACAUAGCACUGUAAUAGAGUUGAGGUCCAGCUAAUAGUGUGUGCUAUUCUGACUGUCAUGCUCCAUCAUUGUAACUUACUGCAUGAGGUCCCCAAAGUGGUCUCGUGAGCACACGUGCACAUGCACGCACAUGAACGCGCACGACCGUGCACACACACAACUCUCUGGAAGAAUCAAGAGGUAAUGGAGAAUGCUUUUCAAUACAAUUUCUUUGUCCAACUCAGAAAAAAGUAAAUCGGCUUGUUCAAGGGCUGAGUUCUAAAAUAUUACAUUCAAAAUGUACUAAAAUCCAUCUCUUGUAGAAUGUUUGCUAGAAAGAAAUAAAGUCACAAAGUAUCCAAGCCCUGUGUGUGUGUGUGUGUGUGUGUGUGUGUGUGUGCAUGUGUGCUCACGGGAGAGUGAUACUAUUAAGGCAAAAUAUCAGUUUACAUUUCAGUGUUCUCUUCAAUUUUUAAAUAUUAGGGUUUAUUUAAAAAUAAGUACUGUGUGAUGUCUGUGUUUCUUGAAAUUGUUUCAUCUUAGAUGACUGAUUUAAAAAAGAAAACUUCAGAAUAUAUUGUUAUUCACAAGCUAAAUAUAUUAAAUAAAUUACUCCCUUACUAUCUA